ensembl:lncRNA
ACGUGCAUUUCUAGACAUCUUUGAAAAGGGAGUCAGGUUAGUGCAGUGUUCCUUCAUCCUGAUCCUGGGGAAUCAAAGGGGGCGGGGAGGAAGAGAGCCAGUGUGAAGCAGCAGAGUCUCAGCAGCAACCUCUUCAUCCUGGAAAGAGCGGACCAAUCAGGACAGCCAUAUUUCAGUCCCGCCCCUCAGGUCCAGGAAGUAUGUCAGGAGGUGGAUGAGUUCAUCUAUGUGGCCAAUGCAGAGACGGGAAGAGGUAACACCAAGACUCCAACACAUUCCUCAUACUUGCUCCUAUUCCUAGGCCCUUGUUGCCAGCCAGAUAAUCUUGUCAAGCUAUCGCAACAUCAGGCUGGUUCCACCAGGCUACCUUCCAGGACCAGAUCCAGGGAAAGAUCAGGCUCGUUCCACCAGGCUACCUUCCAGGACCAAAUCCAGUGAAAGGUGGUGAGGGGGACAGAUCCAGGCAUUGGUGGACCCUGCCUAGUGUUCAUCCUCCAGAACCCUCCUUGUCCUGACUUUUGUGUCCAGAGAGGAACCAGACUCAAUCAGAACCACUAGUCCCAGUACUGCUAGAUUAAAGACCAGGACCCCCAGUGUGGAUAUUGCACAGAGGCUCUGCCUGUGCCUGCUGCCCAACCCCUGGAUUGUCUGUCUGUCUGUGUAGUGUCUGUCUGUCUGUGUAGUGUCUGUCUGUUUAUGUAGUUUAUGUAGUGUCUGUCUGUCUGUGUAGUUUAUGUAGUGUCUGUCUGUGUAGUGUCUGUCUGUGUAGUGUCUGUCUGUCUAUGUAGUGUCUGUCUGUCUGUCUAUGUAGUAUCUGUCUGUGUAGUGUCUGUCUGUCCUGUCUGUCUAUGGUCUAUGUAGUCUGUCUGUCUGCUAGGGUGCUCUGGUCUCAGGCUGUAGCUAUCUGUCUAAGGAACUACCUUCAGCACAAAUGCUUCUGAAGGAAUGUUCUACCUCUGAUGUGCCUUGUUUAAAUGAAUCGCAAAAUAAAAAGUCAUUAUUGGGUAAAUAUUAUUUAAUAACCCUGUAGUAAUUUUUUUGUGAAUAAGUAGUGGGUUGUGAAACAAAACAGAAGUGAAGAGAAC